GCGGUUUUGGCGCGCGUGCCCUACACAUGCAAGUCGAGCGGUAACAGGGGGUGCUUGCACCCCGCUGACGAGCGGCGGACGGGUGAGUAAUGCAUAGGAAUCUACCCAGUAGUGGGGGAUAACCUGGGGAAACCCAGGCUAAUACCGCAUACGUCCUACGGGAGAAAGGGGGCUUUGGCUCCCGCUAUCGGAUGAGCCUAUGCCGGAUUAGCUGGUUGGUGAGGUAACGGCUCACCAAGGCGACGAUCCGUAGCUGGUCUGAGAGGAUGAUCAGCCACAUCGGGACUGAGACACGGCCCGAACUCCUACGGGAGGCAGCAGUGGGGAAUAUUGGACAAUGGGGGCAACCCUGAUCCAGCCAUGCCGCGUGUGUGAAGAAGGCCCUCGGGUUGUAAAGCACUUUCAGCGAGGAAGAACGCCUAUCGGUUAAUACCCGUUAGGAAAGACAUCACUCGCAGAAGAAGCACCGGCUAACUCCGUGCCAGCAGCCGCGGUAAUACGGAGGGUGCAAGCGUUAAUCGGAAUUACUGGGCGUAAAGCGCGCGUAGGUGGCUUGAUAAGCCGGUUGUGAAAGCCCCGGGCUCAACCUGGGAACGGCAUCCGGAACUAUCAGGCUAGAGUGCAGGAGAGGAAGGUAGAAUUCCCGGUGUAGCGGUGAAAUGCGUAGAGAUCGGGAGGAAUACCAGUGGCGAAGGCGGCCUUCUGGACUGACACUGACACUGAGGUGCGAAAGCGUGGGUAGCAAACAGGAUUAGAUACCCUGGUAGUCCACGCCGUAAACGAUGUCGACCAGCCGUUGGGUGCCUAGCGCACUUUGUGGCGAAGUUAACGCGAUAAGUCGACCGCCUGGGGAGUACGGCCGCAAGGUUAAAACUCAAAAUGAAUUGACGGGGGCCCGCACAAGCGGUGGAGCAUGUGGUUUAAUUCGAUGCAACGCGAAGAACCUUACCUUACCCUUGACAUCUACAGAAGCCGAGAGAGAUCUUGGUGUGCUUUCGGGAACUGUAAGACAGGUGCUGCAUGGCUGUCGUCAGCUCGUGUUGUGAAUGUUGGGUUAAGUUCCGUAACGAGCGCAACCCUUGUCCUAUAUUUGCCAGCGAAGUAUUGUCGGGACCUCUAAGGAAACUGCCGGUGAUCAAACCGGGAAGAAGGUGGUGGACACAACUUCAAAGUUACUUCAUUGCCUUACGGUUAAGGCUAACCACCUGGUAUAACAUUGGACGGUACAGCGGCGCAGACUCGGGAAGAAUCACGAAAAUCCUUAAGGCGCUGUUUCUAUCUGCGGUAGUACUGGGA
rnacentral:rRNA from 1 species